GAUGAACGCUGGCGGCGUGCCUAAUACAUGCAAGUCGAGCGAACAGACGAGGAGCUUGCUCCUCUGACGUUAGCGGCGGACGGGUGAGUAACACGUGGAUAACCUACCUAUAAGACUGGGAUAACUUCGGGAAACCGGAGCUAAUACCGGAUAAUAUACUGAACCGCAUGGUUCAAUAGUGAAAUACGGUUUUGCUGUCUCUUAUAGAUGCAUCCGGGCCGCAUUAGAUAGUUGGUACGGUAACGGCUUACCAAGGCAACGAGGCGUAGCCGACGUGAGAGGGUGAUCGGCCACACUGGAACUGAGACACGGUCCAGACUCCUACGGGAGGCAGCAGUAGGGAAUCUUCCGCAAUGGGCGAAAGCCUGACGGAGCAACGCGGCGUGAGUGAUGAAGGUCUUCGGAUCGUAAAACUCUGUUAUUAGGGAAGAACAAAUGUGUAAGUAACUAUGCACGUCUUGACGGUACCUAAUCAGAAAGCCACGGCUAACUACGUG
rnacentral:rRNA from 1 species